rnacentral:rRNA from 1 species
UUGCGUAGGCGGUCGGUAAAGCGAAUAGUGAAACCUGGUGGCUCAACCAUACAGACUAUUAUUCGAACUCACCGACUCGAGAGUAGCAGAGGUAACUGGAAUUUCUAGUGUAGGAGUGAAAUCCGUAGAUAUUAGAAGGAACACCAAUGGCGUAGGCAGGUUACUGGGCUAUUUCUGACGCUAAGGCACGAAAGCGUGGGGAGCGAACC